CAGGUCCUAGUAUAAGUCCAAUUCACCUUGUCACGUGUUAUUACGUUUCAAAAUGCUACGUUUCAACUACUAAAAAUGUCCCGUUUUUUAAAGUUAGGUUUUACUAGGUUUGUGCCAAUACGUAGCAAAACGGGAUAAGAACGUAUUCUGAUCACGUUUUGCUACAUAUAAGCAAGUGUAAACCCACGUUUCCACCCCACAUUGAUACGUAUCGAUACGUGGUUAGCAUGUUUUGUUACGUUCCCCUAAGCGUUGAUACUUGUUUGCUAGGGU
rnacentral:lncRNA from 1 species